rnacentral:rRNA from 1 species
GAUGAACGCUGGCGGCGUGCCUAAUACAUGCAAGUCGAGCGAAGCGGGGACGGGUCAGUAACCCUUUGAUAACCUCCUAUAAGUCUGGGAUAACUUCGGGAAACCUGUGCUACCCCGGAUACUUAUACAUGGAUCCUCGCUGCAUUAGCUAGUUGGUAAGGUAACGGCUUACAAAGUCAACGAUGCAUAGCCGACCUGAGAGGUGGAUCGGCCACACGGGAACUGAGACACGGGCCAGACUCCUACGGGAGGCAGCAGUAGGGAAUCUUCCGCAAUGGGCGAAAGCCUGACGGAGCAACGCCGCGUGAGUGAUGAAGGUCUUCGGAUCGUAAAACUCUGUUAUUAGGGAAGCGGUACCUAAAGAGAAAGCCACGGCUAACUACGUGCCAGCAGCCGCGGUAAUAG